rnacentral:rRNA from 1 species
GACGAACGCUGGCGGCGUGUCUAAUACAUGCAAGUAGAACGCACAGUUUAUACCGUAGCUUGCUACACCAUAGACUGUGAGUUGCGAACGGGUGAGUAACGCGUAGGUAACCUGCCUGGUAGCGGGGGAUAACUAUUGGAAACGAUAGCUAAUACCGCAUAAUAUUAAUUAUUGCAUGAUAAUUGAUUGAAAGAUGCAACUGCAUCACUACCAGAUGGACCUGCGUUGUAUUAGCUAGUAGGUGAGGUAACGGCUCACCUAGGCGACGAUACAUAGCCGACCUGAGAGGGUGAUCGGCCACACUGGGACUGAGACACGGCCCAGACUCCUACGGGAGGCAGCAGUAGGGAAUCUUCGGCAAUGGACGAAAGUCUGACCGAGCAACGCCGCGUGAGUGAAGAAGGUUUUCGGAUCGUAAAGCUCUGUUGUAAGAGAAGAACGGGUGUGAGAGUGGA